CAGCACUACAGACGUGCGUGUGAUCUUGUUGCGUAGUCGCACGUACGUCAGCAGGGGGUUCUGUGCGCAUCUUCGGCUCAACGGCAAAAGGAAAGAAGCAAGGCGCAGUUACACCUGUGCUACCUUUGAUCUCUGCGCAGACGAGGCCUCUCCAACCACUUGUGGGUGUCUCCGGCGUUGUUCUGUGCUCGCACCCGCACGCACUCGGCGGACAUCGAUAGAAAAGCGUACGGGGCCCCAGUCAAAGGCCAUCUACUCACCUUAGCGUAUCCGACGGUACAAGAUUGAUAAAAGGCACAGAUCGUGGUGCAUACGCUUGCGCUUGGUUUGGGUAGCUGUACGUCUCCUGGAGGCAGACUGGCCGUCCUGGAACUCUUUCGCUCGAGAGAGGGUGGCCAUUGCGAUCCUCGGAGCCUCUUAUUGGUUCAUCCCCCUCCUCCUUCCGCCUCCCCGACCCCACUCAUCCCGCUAGCGCGUAUUACACGUCGCACCCUCCGCACCCUGUGACCCCCCCUCCCACACCACUGUCGUCUCGGUAGGCGCGGCGGCGGAGGGGUGAUGCUGGGCAAUUGAGAGACUACGGAGGCUCUCGCUCAUACUCGCAUGCCGGCCCGUGUAUCUGUUGCUUGCUUACGGUUUUUCCUGUUCGUUGUUGCUUCUUCGCUAUGAGCAGCGUCUCGGCAGCGCCUCAGCUGUCCCCGAAGGUGAUCCCGGGCUGCAGUAACACCCACAGCAACAGCGGACUUCCCACCAUCCUCUCCGAUCUCGGCACAUUUGCGUACCAGUCAGCGUGCUACGGACCGCAGCAACUGCUCGCAUGCAGUUCUGCCGUGACCAACGCAGGUGAGGUGAUCUUUGUCUAUGACAUGAAUAGCAUGCUGCUUACACAGUCGCUCAGCGGACACAAGGCCGCUGUCACAGCGUUGCUGUGGCGCCGACCUCCGGCGUCUUACCUGCAAACAGGCCUCUUUCUGUGGAGUGGCGACGCGAGCGGCGCGCUGAUGUACUGGGAUGUAGUGGAGGGUGUAGCGCUGACAUCGAUCCAGACGCCUUGCCAUGCCGCGGUGCAGUCGCUGACGCUUCUCACAGAUGAGCACCUCCUCGUCGUCACUCAGGAAGGCACAGGCUACGUGUUCAACUCACACCUCGUCGACAACGCCCCUCUGCCACCCGGCCGUCUCCUGCUAGAGGCGAAGCAGAGCACCCUGCUGGGCAACAUCAGCAGACCAUCGCUCGUCGCUUGUUCGCGCCUGAACGACCAGCACUGCUGCGCUGUUGUGCUCGGCGACCGUCUGCGUAUCCUCACCGCAAUCCCGCUCGACAGCGGCGCCGCCGCUCCUGUCGCAAAGGAUCUUAUCUACGACAGCUGCGAUGGUGCCCCCACGGUCAUCGACGUCUUUUUCAGCGACGCGCAGGAGGAGGUGCUGUACUUCGCCACGCGCAACACGGUGGGAUGCUACGACUGGAAGCUGAGGCUGAUGUUGAACGAAUCGCUGCUGUGGUUGCCGGACGAGGUGGAGUUUCGUCGCAUCUUUCGCUCGUGCUCGAGCGGCGCGGCGGCGCGCACCGCCGAAAGUCGUAGCCAGGAGUCCACGGCGUCAUCGUCAGGCGAUGCGGCCGCCGCGCAGGUCCCGCUCAUGUAUUCGUUCGGCUCCGAUCAGCGACUUGUCGCGUGGCACGUCACGCGGCACGACCGCUUCACUGCCGUUUCGACAGACGUGCGUGGGGUGCGCAUCAAUGCCAAGCUGUGCGUUAACGUGGUACAGUCGGAGCUCGACUCGUCGCUGUUUGCGGUGCUGUUCGAGGACGGCUCCAUUGUGCACUGGCAGUACAGCCCCCUGGCUCGGCGGUGGCGGCUGCUGGACUGCUGGCUGGCGCCUGUGGUGCGCCCCGUGACGUUCUGCCCCGUCGGUGCCCAUCACUGCUGCGUGGCUUUGGAGAGCGGUCAUCUUGCUCUGAUGGACAUUACGCACAGCAUGGCUGUUCGGCGGUUCAACUUGGUCUACUCUGGCGGAACGAAGAUUGUGCUGCUGUGCGGGUACAAGUGGAGCGACCUUGUCUGGAUCGUGUCGGACCGCAUUCAACAGUACCGCCACCACCACCAAGUCUCGCUGAUUGACACCCGCACAGGGGAGGUGGUGCGAGUGCUGCGCAAACCGUCCUCGGCACCAGAGCAGACCCGGAUGAAGGAGAUCACGAUGGACCCGACAACCACGUACGUCCUGCUGACGUUCUGGAACGGCACCUUUGAGGUUUGGACAGCGGCGGACAGCCGACUCGUGCACAUCCACUCCGGUUUGGGCGUCGCAAACGUCUCGUGGGCGCCUCCGUUGAUGCGGCGCUGCUUGAGUGGUGUACAAGGCACGCCGCAGCUGCUCGCCGUGCUGUUCUCGGAGGGCACGCUGUCGCUGUGGUCCGCCUACAAGGACCGAGUGGUGGUGAGCCGCGACGCCAUUCCCCUCUUCCACCCAAGCGCGGUGGAGGGGUCGGUGCGGUCUGCAGUGGUGGCGGAUACCCUUGUCAUGUGGGACGGUCACGGCAACGGCUUCGUGCUGCGCGCGCAAGGAACGCGGCUGGCGGUGCGGCGGCUACGCGAUGCGCCUCCUAACAGCGGGGCAGUGAUGUGCCUGGGCGGGCCGUCACCGCCAUCUCGCGCGACAGAGUUCAUGAGCUUUUCGUCGCCGCUCGCGUGGCCGUCGUCGGGGUCCUUAUCAUACCACGAGGACGGCGACAACGCAGCCAGCUCGAUCAGCACCGGCGACGCAGGGCUUCCCUCGACACCGACGGCUGGCUUCAGCGCUGCCCGCGCCGUCGCGGUUCUCUUCGAGAGUGGCGUGUUUGCUGUGUGGGACAUCGCGACCGGUGAGCGCCGCGCGCUAUCUUCGGUUGGCAUGGCUGCGGAUGUGCGCGCGCUGUCGCUCUACUGGACGGGCGGGUCUCUUUGUGUACUGGGCGCUGAUGGCUGCCUCUACGUGCUCGACACAUACCUGACCGAGAUGAACAGCAGCGUGCGGUACCGGGCGCUGCGGCGUCCCAUGAAGAACGUAGCCUUUCUCCUUCCUGCCCACCGUACCUACGUGCAGGUGGCGCUGGAGCUGGGUAGUCCGCAGUCGGGUCUAGGCGACCAAGCCCAACGCGCCUCACACUCCUUGAGCGAUGCCCCCAGCGCAGUCAUGGAGGCGGUACCGUCCUCCGUGCGUCCCUGCCGUGGCCCGUUUGGCCAGCUCCUCACUGAGGACAUACGGACUUUGCAGGAUGAACUGGAGCUCUAUCGCACCACGAUGGUGCCGCGCGAUGUGCUGCUGCGGCUGAGCCGCUGCGGCUCCACCGCGGCCGGCGCGGCGCCGGUCUCCCCUCUGACUUGGCUGAGACGCGCUGCAGUGGUCGCCGACUUUCUUGGCCAGUCGACGAAGCAGCGGUUCAUGCGCCUUGCUGCCGAUGUGCUGCGGCACUGGCAGCCGUCCGCCGUCGCGCGACGCGGUGCUCGGGGCACCCCCUCGCCGGCCUCGUCGCCAGCCGACGCCGCCCUGGCGAUCGCAUUGACUGACUGUCCUCCUGCUUCACCUGACAGCGAGCCGCUCGGUGAAGACUCCUUCAGCGUGCCACAGACUUACGCCUGCGCAGAUGUGUACUCGGAAGCGCUUGCCCCUUCUCACGUUGUGCGCCGCAAUCGUAUCCUACUCAAUGAGCAGCGCAGCGCAGCGCUGCUCGUGAACGCGCGCAACCACCGCGCCAGGGACGACUCUAUUACGCGACUCGCGCUUGCGCGGGACUGGCUGCGACUCGAGCACCGCCAGAACGUCAUCGAGGUGCUGCUGGAUGCGCCGCCACAGUCCACGACCUACAACGAGCUGGCCACCCUGAGCAUGGCUGUGGCUGCGUCGACCGCCGUCCAGUCCUCCUCGGCGGACUCGGCCACGUCGGCGCUCUUCGCCGCCUCGGCGAAGCGUGCGGCGGCAAUGUUGCUAGCGCAGGGCGACGUGGAGGCAGCCGUAGAGAAGCUCACGCUGGCUGGCGAGUAUCGCAGCGCCUGCGUCACACUCCAGUCCAAAGGUCGGUGGCGCGAUGCUGUGCUUCUUGUCAAGGCGGUGCCUCAAGUGCAGCGGCCCUUGCUGGCGGAGGUGCUGCAGCGUUGGUCAGCGCUUUCAGUGAAGCGAGGCUACCGCCUACUUAGCGCCGCUCUUCUACUCGCCGUCGGUGAAGCGAAUCCUUAUGAGACGCAGCCCCCUCCACUGGCAGCGUUGUCCCUGCUGAUAGAGUCGGCCCAUUUCACGGAUGUGGCUGGGGUUCUGGCGCUCGUGCUGGCCCAGUACCACGAGGCCAUUCUCGGCUGGCCAGAGACGGCUGCAGCGGCGUGGAUGUCCAUUUCACCUGCCCACUCUUCGGACACCUCACCAGUGCAGCCCGUGAGUGCCGGUGCCAUGAUGGACACUGUGCUGCACGCCUUGGGCGACUACAGCGGCCUCCUGCACACAGUCAGCAACCUGGCGGCCGAGGAGGUUGUGCUUCGGCAGGCUGCAAUGCUGAAGGUGUCGAUGCGGCAGGCUGCCAAGGACGACAGCGAUGAGUGUGGGGACUGAUUGGGGACCGCUGCACACAGAGACAAACUGACGGCUGUGACGGCGGUGAAACAUGAUCUUUCCACCAAGCACCUUCUCUGUGGCCUCUCUCUCUCGCGCGACGUGCUGUCGCGGUGCAGGGAAGGGCUGGGGGGGGGGCGUGGAGGCGUGGAAGAAACCGCUACCCAACGAUAUUCGUUGAGGCUUUGAUCAUAUCUUCCGCUCUUGUGCGGACGUUUGUGCUCCCUGUUGACUGCUUCAGAAG
rnacentral:misc_RNA from 1 species